UGAAUUCAUCUCCGGGGGUAGAGCACUGUUUCGGCUAGGGGGCCAUCCCGGCUUACCAACCCGAUGCAAACUGCGAAUACCGGAGAAUGUUAUCACGGGAGACACACGGCGGGUGCUAACGUCCGUCGUGAAGAGGGAAACAACCCAGACCGCCAGCUAAGGUCCCAAAGUCAUGGUUAAGUGGGAAACGAUGUGGGAAGGCCCAGACAGCCAGGAUGUUGGCUUAGAAGCAGCCAUCAUUUAAAGAAAGCGUAAUAGCUCACUGGUCGAGUCGGCCUGCGCGGAAGAUGUAACGGGGCUAAACCAUGCACCGAAGCUGCGGCAGCGACACUGUGUGUUGUUGGGUAGGGGAGCGUUCUGUAAGCCUGUGAAGGUGUGUCGUGAGGCAUGCUGGAGGUAUCAGAAGUGCGAAUGCUGACAUAAGUAACGAUAAAGCGGGUGAAAAGCCCGCUCGCCGGAAGACCAAGGGUUCCUGUCCAACGUUAAUCGGGGCAGGGUGAGUCGACCCCUAAGGCGAGGCCGAAAGGCGUAGUCGAUGGGAAACGGGUUAAUAUUCCCGUACUUGGUGUUACUGCGAAGGGGGGACGGAGAAGGCUAUGUUGGCCGGGCGACGGUUGUCCCGGUUUAAGCGUGUAGGUGUGUGUUCCAGGUAAAUCCGGUUCACUUUAACACUGAGGCGUGACGACGAGGCACUACGGUGCUGAAGCAACAAAUGCCCUGCUUCCAGGAAAAGCCUCUAAGCAUCAGGUAACAUCAAAUCGUACCCCAAACCGACACAGGUGGUCAGGUAGAGAAUACCAAGGCGCUUGAGAGAACUCGGGUGAAGGAACUAGGCAAAAUGGUGCCGUAACUUCGGGAGAAGGCACGCUGACACGUAGGUGAAGUGAUUUACUCAUGGAGCUGAAGUCAGUCGAAGAUACCAGCUGGCUGCAACUGUUUAUUAAAAACACAGCACUGUGCAAACACGAAAGUGGACGUAUACGGUGUGACGCCUGCCCGGUGCCGGAAGGUUAAUUGAUGGGGUCAGCGCAAGCGAAGCUCCUGAUCGAAGCCCCGGUAAACGGCGGCCGUAACUAUAACGGUCCUAAGGUAGCGAAAUUCCUUGUCGGGUAAGUUCCGACCUGCACGAAUGGCGUAAUGAUGGCCAGGCUGUCUCCACCCGAGACUCAGUGAAAUUGAACUCGCUGUGAAGAUGCAGUGUACCCGCGGCAAGACGGAAAGACCCCGUGAACCUUUACUAUAGCUUGACACUGAACAUUGAGCCUUGAUGUGUAGGAUAGGUGGGAGGCUUUGAAGUGUGGACGCCAGUCUGCAUGGAGCCGACCUUGAAAUACCACCCUUUAAUGUUUGAUGUUCUAACGUGGACCCGUUACCCGGGUUGCGGACAGUGUCUGGUGGGUAGUUUGACUGGGGCGGUCUCCUCCUAAAGAGUAACGGAGGAGCACGAAGGUUGGCUAAUCCUGGUCGGACAUCAGGAGGUUAGUGCAAUGGCAUAAGCCAGCUUGACUGCGAGCGUGACGGCGCGAGCAGGUGCGAAAGCAGGUCAUAGUGAUCCGGUGGUUCUGAAUGGAAGGGCCAUCGCUCAACGGAUAAAAGGUACUCCGGGGAUAACAGGCUGAUACCGCCCAAGAGUUCAUAUCGACGGCGGUGUUUGGCACCUCGAUGUCGGCUCAUCACAUCCUGGGGCUGAAGUAGGUCCCAAGGGUAUGGCUGUUCGCCAUUUAAAGUGGUACGCGAGCUGGGUUUAGAACGUCGUGAGACAGUUCGGUCCCUAUCUGCCGUGGGCGCUGGAGAACUGAGGGGGGCUGCUCCUAGUACGAGAGGACCGGAGUGGACGCAUCACUGGUGUUCGGGUUGUCAUGCCAAUGGCACUGCCCGGUAGCUAAAUGCGGAAGAGAUAAGUGCUGAAAGCAUCUAAGCACGAAACUUGCCCCGA
rnacentral:rRNA from 1 species